UACAGAGGUCCCAAGCGUUGUUCGGAUUCACUGGGCGUAAAGCGCGUGUAGGCGGCUAAGUAAGUCGGGCGUGAAAUCCCACGGCUCAACCGUGGAAGUGCACUCGAAACUGCAUAGCUAGAGUCCUGGAGAGGAAGGUGGAAUGCUUGGUGUAGAGGUGAAAUUCGUAGAUAUCAAGCGGAACACCGGUGGCGAAGGCGGCCUUCUGGACAGUGACUGACGCUGAGACGCGAAAGCGUGGGGAGCAAACAGG
rnacentral:rRNA from 1 species